CAAAUAUUGCUAAAAAAACAACAACCUCAAGCUUGAUCUGUGUAUACAGUAAAAUGACCUCUUCAUGACUAUUCUUGGCCAAGUCCCCUGCUGAAACUGAGGAAGAGGAGCCAGAGGCCAUGACUGCAGAAGGGACAGGCUUAGGAUGUUUCGCAGUGAAGAAGCCCCUGAAAGACCUGCAAGGACAGUUCGCCGUGUCAAAAUUAGAUUUGGGUUUAUUCAAAAUCCAUGGGACACAAUUUACAUGCUGGAUCUGAAAUAAGAAAAAUUGUGGUGGCCCUGUCAGCGUCAGAAGCAGAGUUCACAGAUACAUUAAAAAGAGAGUUCCCGGAAGUCCGAGACACUCCCUUCCAUCUCUGCAAGGUGGAUAGGCGGAGGCGUAUAAUCCCCCUCAAUUUAACCUCUAUCUGCCCAUCUGCUAUAAAAGCCUGCCCUGAAGUUGGUAGAUUCGCCAUCUACAUUAGACCAAAUGCAAUUCAUGAAGAAGAUCCCAAGGGAGAUUCAGAAGAUGCAAAUUUGCCGGCAUGGAGAGCACUGAGGCAAGAGCAGGACGAGGAAUUCCAUCAAUCUUUGUCCAUUGAUCAAGAGAGGGAGAGGAGACGGAGGGAAAUGAUAAAUCAAGAGCAGCGUCGGAGAAAGCCAUAGAAGAUAGAGUGGACCUGAUCAACAGUGUUGAGGAACCAGUAGAUGGCGUCGAACUCCACUGCAAAUUUCCAGAUGGAAGAAUUUCCAAUAGAUUUUAUUUAUCCCAGCCAUUCCAGGAAUUGCUGGCUCCUCCUUCCAGUCUCUCUCCCCCAAGUUUUUCACCUCCUCAUCGCCCAUCAACUCCUCCCAGUCCUUCACCUCCUCCCAGUCCUUCACCUCCUCCCAGUCCAUCACCUCCUCCCAGUCCAUCACCUGCUUGUAGUCUGGAUGUUGUCAACAUUCUCCAAGGUCUUAGGGAGACACUCAAACUCCUCCCCAACAGAGCUAAUCAAAUUAAUGCUCUGCGUGGGGAGGAGUUUGAUUGCGCGGCCCAAGCCUUCAGCAGAGCUAAUUUUGACCCAGAGUCAAAAUUAGAUGUCGUGUUCGUAGACGAUGAUGGUAUUGGAGAGGGGGCUGUGGAUGAAAGUGGUCCAACAAGGGAGUUCUGCCGCCUUCUCACCAGGCAACUCCAAACACAUAACAUUUUUGAAGGGCCCCUGGAACAACGCACCUUGGCCCUAGAUAGUGUUGGUAAGUGUUAUGCAAUGCAUAGAAAUGUUUUUU